GAUGAACGCUGGCGGCGUGCCUAAUACAUGCAAGUCGAGCGAACGGACGAGAAGCUUGCUUCUCUGAUGUUAGCGGCGGACGGGUGAGUAACACGUGGAUAACCUACCUAUAAGACUGGGAUAACUUCGGGAAACCGGAGCUAAUACCGGAUAAUAUUUUGAACCGCAUGGUUCAAAAGUGAAAGACGGUCUUGCUGUCACUUAUAGAUGGAUCCGCGCUGCAUUAGCUAGUUGGUAAGGUAACGGCUUACCAAGGCAACGAUGCAUAGCCGACCUGAGAGGGUGAACGGCCACACUGGAACUGAGACACGGCACAGACUCUUACGGGAGGCAGAAGUAGGGAAUCGUCCGCAAUGGGCGAAAGCCUGACGGAGCAACGCCGCGUGAGUGAUGAAGGUCUUCGGAUCGUAAAACUCUGUUAUUAGGGAAGAACAUAUGUGUAAGUAACUGUGCACAUCUUGACGGUACCUAAUCAGAAAGCCACGGCUAACUACGUG
rnacentral:rRNA from 1 species